GUGCACGACCUCGACCAGCUGGUCGCCUGAUCUCGUUUAGCAGGGCAGGAGCCUGUGUUCCCAUUUCUUACUAGCUGGGCUGCCGAUGACCUAGCUCAGCCUUGGUUUUCCUCCGGUUGAACAAAAGCUGGCAAGAGCUGCCUCCCGGAUCGCAGUGAGGACUCUAAGGGAACGAGGGCGAACGCGCUUUGGAAAGCCAGUUGCUGAGCAGAUGGUAAGGGAUCACUUCCAAGAGCCAGGGCUAGUUUCAUUUCAGUCUUGGACACGAGAUGGUCUCAAUGCCUUCAUUAAUGAACAUUCUCCUUAGAAGUCUGGAGAACUGACCCAAGAAGAAGGACCAACAAUUCAGGCUCAGGAAAGCCCACAAUUCCACAGGGGAACCAGGACUGCAUGGCUUCGAAUCCCAGCCCUCCCCACUCAGGAAACAUUGCUCCCCAAACGGCACGGAUUUCUGGACGCCUCCACCUUAAGACAGCUACUUCAGCCAGAACGUGGGACAGGCACUAACGGGAUAUCACCCUUGGGGAUAAACACGCUCCAGUUUCCUGUGGACGGUGGAAGAGGAA
ensembl:lncRNA PRDM8-AS1 PRDM8 antisense RNA 1